GAUGAACGCUGGCGGCGUGCCUAAUACAUGCAAGUCGAGCGAACGGACGAGAAGCUUGCUUCUCUGAUGUUAGCGGCGGACGGGUGAGUAACACGUGGAUAACCUACCUAUAAGACUGGGAUAACUUCGGGAAACCGGAGCUAAUACCGGAUAAUAUUUUGAACCGCAUGGUUCAAAAGUGAAAGACGGUCUUGCUGCCACUUAUAGAUGGAUCCGCGCUGCAUUAGCUAGUUGGUAAGGUAACGGCUUACCAAGGCAACGAUGCGUAGCCGACCUGAGAGGGUGAUCGGCCACACUGGAACUGAGACACGGUCCAGACUCCUACGGGAGGCAGCAGUAGGGAAUCUUCCGCAAUGGGCGAAAGCCUGACGGAGCAACGCCGCGUGAGUGAUGAAGGUCUUCGGAUCGUAAAACUCUGUUAUUAGGGAAGAACAUAUGUGUAAGUAACUGCGCACAUCUUGACGGUACCUAAUCAGAAAGCCACGGCUAACUACGUG
rnacentral:rRNA from 1 species